UGGGGAAUUUUGGACAAUGGGCGAAAGCCUGAUCCAGCAAUGCCGCGUGUGUGAAGAAGGCCUUCGGGUUGUAAAGCACUUUUGUCCGGAAAGAAAUCCUUGGCUCUAAUACAGUCGGGGGAUGACGGUACCGGAAGAAUAAGCACCGGCUAACUACGUGCCAGCAGCCGCGGUAAUACGUAGGGUGCAAGCGUUAAUCGGAAUUACUGGGCGUAAAGCGUGCGCAGGCGGUUUGCUAAGACCGAUGUGAAAUCCCCGGGCUCAACCUGGGAACUGCAUUGGUGACUGGCAGGCUAGAGUAUGGCAGAGGGGGGUAGAAUUCCACGUGUAGCAGUGAAAUGCGUAGAGAUGUGGAGGAAUACCGAUGGCGAAGGCAGCCCCCUGGGCCAAUACUGACGCUCAUGCACGAAAGCGUGGGGAGCAAACAGGAUUAGAUACCCUGGUAGUCCACGCCCUAAACGAUGUCAACUAGUUGUUGGGGAUUCAUUCCUUAGUAACGUAGCUAACGCGUGAAGUUGACCGCCUGGGGAGUACGGUCGCAAGAUUAAAACUUAAUG
rnacentral:rRNA from 1 species